UACGUAGGGGGCAAGCGUUGUCCGGAUUUAUUGGGCGUAAAGAGCGUGUAGGCGGCCAGAUAGGUCCGUUGUGAAAACUGGAGGCUUAACCUCCAGCGGUCGAUGGAAACCAUUUGGCUAGAGUCCGGAAGAGGAGAGUGGAAUUCCUGGUGUAGCGGUGAAAUGCGCAGAUAUCAGGAAGAACACCCGUGGCGAAGGCGGCUCUCUGGGACGGUACUGACGGCUGAGGCGCGAAAGCGUGGGGGAGCAAACAG
rnacentral:rRNA from 1 species